UACGAAGGGGGCUAGCGUUGCUCGGAAUUACUGGGCGUAAAGGGCGCGUAGGCGGCCCUCCUUGUCGCGUGUGAAAGCCCCGGGCUCAACCUGGGACACCACCCGAUACUGCUCUGGCUAGAGUCCGGUAGGGGAGCGUGGAAUUCCUGGUGUAGCGGUGAAAUGCGCAGAUAUCAGGAGGAACACCAGCGGCGAAGGCGGCGCUCUGGGCCGGUACUGACACUGAGGAGCGAAAGCGUGGGUAGCAAACAGG
rnacentral:rRNA from 1 species